UUAAUCAAGAAGUAAUAAGACAUCAUGAGUUAAAUGUCAUGACAGUUUCUCUUCCCUCAAAAAUGUGUACUUUGACAUUACAGAUCUGUACACUGUGACAAUACUGGCCAGGUUUCAUUUUAUACAAGAUACAUUUGAAAAGGUUGCUAAGAGAUUAUAGACGACAGAGGACAGAGCAUAUUUACCACUGAACUACACGUCUGGCUGAAGAGGAAGUAUCAUAUAGUGCUGUGAUGCAUAAGAGAAUAACUCUUGUCAAGGUUGAAGCAGCAGAUGAGGAUGUUGCAUACAGCGGACUGGCUCUGCACUAAAUUUAUGUCAGUGUUAGAUCUCUCUGUAGCCUGUCUAGCCUUGAGGUUUUACAUCUGAGAAGGCACACAUGUAAAAGAAACUUUGACCUAUUUGUGUGACAAGUACAAGCUGGCAGUGUACAGCGCAGCUCUAUGAGUAACAUCAUCAUAAGAGUGAAAAGAGCGAGACAGUAGUUGAAACCAGCAGUGUUAUUGAAUGCAUACUUACCUUUGCAAGAAACUAAUUUAGUGACUCAUUGGCCCAGCUGUCAGUAUCAGUCUGCAAGUUA